rnacentral:tRNA from 1 species
GCGAAUCUCGGCUAGAGNUGGGACGCGCAGCGUUGAGGUCGCUGUUCCUUAACCGGAGUGGAAGUUCGAGUCUUCUCGACCGCACCA